AGAACAGGAGUGGGCAAGCAUCUUAGGGAGCAAAUUAAAAGUGAAAUCUACUCCCCACACCCCUGGCAAUGCCACCUAACAAGCUUCUCCAGUGGACAGUGAAACACCCUAAAAGUUGAGCAGUGUGAUUCUGCCAAAGGGAACCUACUUCCUUAGCAGCAGGUCUCACCUCCUGGUGAGACCACAGAAUAUUUACAUGGCACAGCUCACCAGAAUACGCUAAGCAUGAGGGCUCGGUUCUGAAAACGUCAGGAGGGCCAACUCCAAGUCCUGGACUCCAAGAAGUGGCAGGAGGCCAAAGCCCUCCAAGUGAUGUAAUGAAUCCCCUCAGUUUGUCUGACUUAGGGAUUAGCCAUCAGACAGACACCAAUCCCAGCAAUGGACAGCAAGGCCUAAAAAUCAAAGGCCCUGCAAAUACGCUGCAUACAAAUGCUAGGGGAGAGACAGGGCCUCCUCAUGGUGGCUCUCAGAGCCCAGGGCCUCUGCAGGGUGCCCCUGAAAGGAAACCAGGCCGGCUGGUCCUGCCUUAUUUCCUCAGAAGGGAAGCAGCAUGGUGGGAUGUGCCACAUGAGACUCUAAGAGUCGGUGGGACCAAGUCUGGUCCUGCCUCUGCCUCUGCCCCUGUGGUGGCUCUCGGCAAGCCCCUGGCCCACUUUAAGUCUAAGGGAGCCUCUUGACAAACACGGGCAUGAUUGUGGACCCCUCAAUCUAUCUCUAACCCACUCUUUUUAGGAGUCAGGUCCAUUACCCAGCGUUUCAUGCUCCUGACUUCAGAGCAGGCCUGGGACCAGGAUGAGGCUGAGGAGGCACCCACUCACCUUGGGGACAAGAGUUUAGGAGGGGAAGGUGCCAAAACACUCAGUGACCAAGAUAAACAACAUUUUCAUGAGGUGCUUAAAAAAAUUCGUUAAAAAAAAAUUCUGGAUGAACAAAAUCAUUUUAACAAUCUACAUUCUGAGCGAAGGAGGAAUCCGGCUCUGCGCGCGUCCUGCCCCCCUUUCCGGCCUCUCCCCGUUCCUGCCCUCCUGCCAGGAACCCCCGCAGCAGCUCCACAGGGGGGUCGUCCCCACUCCAGUGUUUUCGAAGGAGGAACUGAGGCUCCGGGAGCGCCCAGGACCUGCGUCAGGUCACCCGAUCCGCUGGUUUCGGCUGGUCGGGGGCUCCCACGGGGCUGGACAGGGCCUCGGCCCAGGGCGGCCCCCCGGGCGGGGUAGGGGCCCCGCGGGUACCUCUGGCUUUUGAACUCCUUCAUGAUCUCCAGGAAGCCGUUGUAGGUGGCGGGGUCGCUCCCGAAGCGGAUCUUCACCUGGUCCAGGCACCCUGCCCGUCUCAGAGAGAGGUUCCACACUUGGGGUGGCAGAACACUUCCACAUGCCAUGCAGUCCAGCCCAAGCUCCAGAGGAUAGAAGCUCCUUUAUUUGGUACCUCGCCCUGUGUCUCUCUUCAUCUGGCUGUUAACUUGUAUCCUUUACAGUAUCCUUUAUUAAACUGGUAAACAUAAGUGUGUUUUCCUGAGUUUUGUGAGCUGCUCUAGCAAAUUAAUGGAACCUAAGGAGGGGGUCACUGGAAUUUCCGAUCUGUAGCUGGUCCGUCAGAAGCACAAGUAACAGCCUGAGGCUCAAGACUGGCAUCUGGAGUCCGGGGUGGAAGGCAGUCUUGUAGGAUGGAGCCCUUAACCUGAGGGAUAUCUGGUGCUGUCUCCGGGCAAGUAGUGUCAGGAUUGAGCUGAAUUCUCGGGCACCGCUGGUAUUCGAGAAUUGCUUGGCAUUGUGCACAAGAAAACACCCUCCUAAGGAUGCACACGUUGGAAUUGGGUGCAGGGACCCAGAAGGACCAGGUUCUGGAACAGCGCAGGGAACAGGAAAUAAUGCCAAGACCACUUUCAGAAAAUACAAGUUACCACUCUGGGGAUUUAGCCCAGUCCAUCAUGGGAUUAGGAAGACUUUCCGUGGGAGGUGGCAUUCUAGCUGAGUCCUGAAGGACGUGUAGGUGUCCACUUUGAAAGUCGGAACAGCUGUGUAAAGUCCCUGCAAUGUGAAAGAGGUUGGUACAUUUAAACUUUAAAAAAUAAAAAUAAGAAGACCAGUGUUCUCUCACUGUGGAGGAGGGGGGCUGGGGUGGGGUGGGAGAGAGGGUGCAGGAUAUGUAUGCAGAGGCUGGAGGGGGCAGACCGUUCAUCCUUACGGGAUAGGUUUAAAAUGUUGGUCUCAGCAUUUUGUGUUGGUCGAGACCCUGCACGGUUUAUGCAAGGAGCUACUGGAACUGUUUUGAAUUUGGAAGCAAAUGCUCUGGCUGCUCUGCAGAGAUGUGGCUGGAGAAGAGCCAGGGAUGGUGCAGGGAGGUUGUUUCAUUGUUUAGGCAAAGGGCAGUGAUGGUGGCUCAGACCAGGAUGGGAGCAGUGGUGGUGGAGAGGAGGGGAUGGAAAGGGGUGCCAUUUGGAAGGUAAAACACAGAGGAUGUAGUGCUGGAUACACGUAGGGAUGAACGAGGAGGAAGCAUGAAUGGCUGCCAGCCCAGAAAAGGACCCUGCUUAGUUUCAGCGCUUUCCUGUGUGAAUAGCAGCCGAGAUGGCCUGAACCCCUUGAGGCCACCAGGUGUCUGGACAGUCAUUUUCACACCAACACCUCCUGGCAACAUACUAGACACUGUCCUUGAGGACCAGCUGAGUGUGUGGCCAUUUGACAUGGCACAGGAUCCUCCCACAAUGUCUCCUCCGAGGAGUGCGAUUCUUCUGUUCAAAUUUUAAGUGUCAUUUUCAGUUUUCCUUUUUUUUUUGUUACAGAUCUCCUGUGGUCAGAGAUUGCACUCACUCCCUGGGGAACAGGAAACCAGUCGCCUAUUCCACCUUGGGUGUGCACGCACACGUGUGUGCCUGUUCCCCAGCGCGUGCGUGCGUGCGUGUGGCCAACAUAUAUAUGGACAGUACUAAUAUACAUCUUUUCAUUCUUAUUUUUAUAAAGCAUUAAAAAUGGCUAAGCUAAGUUUUCUUCUUUACUCUUCUCAUCUACACAGAUUAAAUUGAAAACCUUAGCAUGGACAAUUUAGAUAGACCAGCCUGCAGGCACAAAUUUCCUGACCACUUCACAAGUUUGAUUGCAUUAAGCCAAAUGCAGAGUUGCUUCCUCAUGGCUCCAAGCAAGAGCUCAACACUACCUGCAGCAAGAAGAGACCCGUCCUCAGAGAGUGCCAGGAACCGCACAGCUUCUGGAAGCUUCUCCAGCAGGCUGUCUCCUUCGGAGGAAACCUGUGCAGAAUCAAGGAUGCCCAUCAAGCAUUUCCACAUGGCUCAGGGGUCAGGAUCAAGAGCAGGACCUCUAGAGAUCUCAGAUAAGAUCGAAACACAGGUUGGAGCCCGAGGAAGGCAGCUUUUCCUGAGUUGCAGAAAUAAACUGACUUUAUUCAGACCUAAGAGGAUGGUUCAUCCCUGAUUCCCGACCCCAAUUCAGUUUCUGAUUUUUGAGCACCUGACUACCACCAGGCUGUGUGCCGACAGCUUUAUGUUCAUUACCUUGGUUGGGGGGGAGAGAUGGGACACAGGGAUAGCCCAGAAAACUGACUCAUCUGCACCGAUUCAAACAUAUUUUUAAAAAAGACUUUGUCCACCUUUAUUUAGCAGGGGCAGAAGAAAGUGAAUUUCUUUGUGGCUGUUACUGAUAAUUUUUUAAAUAUGAUUCUUUUAAAACUUAAAAAAUAGUAUACUGUAGAAGAUUUUUAAAAAAUAGAAAUAUCCAGAGCACACCUUGAACACACCCUGAACUCCUCUUUGCCCUCCCUGCCAUCCCUCCUCCUCUGCAGAAGGGACCAUUGCCUGCAUUUGCUUGACGUGUUUGCAUGGAUGGGCAUUUACGUGAGCAUCCUUUUUAACAUAAUCCAUCAUAGACACUGUUCUGAGAGUUGCUUUUUUCAUGUAAUGUGUCUGGAACAGUGGUUCUCAACCUGAGGAGCAAUUCUGCACACACACCCUCACCCCAGGACAUUAGGCAACGUCUACAGACAUUUUUGGUUGUUAAGAUUGACAGAUGCUUUGCAUCUAGUGGGUGGAGGCCAGGGAUGCUGCUGAAGACGCUGCAAGGCAGGAACAGACCCCACAGCAAAGUAGGACCCAGCCCCAGCCUCCUAUGGGGCCCACGCAUAGCAUAGUGGUUAAGAACAUGGACCCUAAAACCAGCCUACCUAAGUCCAGAUCCCAUUGGUGACACUCCUGAGCUGUGUGACUUUAGACAAAUGACUUUACUUCUCUGUGCUACAGUUCUGGGACGUAGACGGAAUGGCAGCAGCUACUUUAGCUUUGCUUUGAUGGUUAAAUUUAAAUAAACGGAUAUGAAGUUCUUGGAAUAAUGCUAGUUGCUCAGUGAGCACUACAUGAAAACGUAUUGCUAUUUCCAUGAAAGUACCUCUGGCCCACGCAAACUUUCCCUGUAAUGGACCAGAUAGCAAAUAUUUCAGGCUUUGUGGGCCACACUGUCUUAAAUUUGCUGUUACAGCACAAAUGCAGCCAGAGACAGCAUGUAAACAUUUGGGGGUGGUUGUGUGCCAAUAAAACUUCAUUUAUGGACACUGAAUUUGGAUUCCAUAGAAUUUUCACAUGUCACAUGAUACUAUUCUCUGGCUAAUUUUUUUAACCACUUAAAUUCAUAAACUCAUUCUCAGAUCACGGGCCAUACACAGGCAGGCAGCCACAGCUUGCUGACUGCUGCUCAAGCCCAUUGGAGUUUUUUAUGGCCACAUAAUCUUUCAGAGUAUAUAGGUCCUUAAUUCAUUUAACACUUUCUUCUGGACAGAUAUUUGAUAUCAUGCUGAUGUUUUCUUAAGAAUGCCGUGGUAAAUACUAUUAUCUAGGCUGAUCUUUUUUUUAAAAAAAUAAACUUUAA